AUUGAACGCUGGCGGCAGGCCUAACACAUGCAAGUCGAGCGGAUGAAGGGAGCUUGCUCCUGGAUUCAGCGGCGGACGGGUGAGUAAUGCCUAGGAAUCUGCCUGGUAGUGGGGGAUAACGUCCGGAAACGGGCGCUAAUACCGCAUACGUCCUGAGGGAGAAAGUGGGGGAUCUUCGGACCUCACGCUAUCAGAUGAGCCUAGGUCGGAUUAGCUAGUUGGUGGGGUAAAGGCCUACCAAGGCGACGAUCCGUAACUGGUCUGAGAGGAUGAUCAGUCACACUGGAACUGAGACACGGUCCAGACUCCUACGGGAGGCAGCAGUGGGGAAUAUUGGACAAAGGGCGAAAGCCUGAUCCAGCCAUACCGCGUGUGUGAAGAAGGUCUUCGGAUUGUAAAGCACUUUAAGUUGGGAGGAAGGGCAGUAAGUUAAUACCUUGCUGUUUUGACGUUACCAACAGAAUAAGCACCGGCUAACUUCGUG
rnacentral:rRNA from 1 species